rnacentral:lncRNA from 1 species
CUUUUGCAUCAGGAGGAAGAACCCUGUCCUUGAGGUAUGCAACCAGUGGGUCGAUCCAACUGGGUUCAUGGUUGAUCUCCAUCACAAGCUGUGAUUCUUCCGUACUUGGGUGCUUCAGAACUUCGAAGAAGACUUCCUUAGGCAGUUCAACCGGAGCUAGUGUAGCCAACUUGGAGAGAAGGUCAGCCCUGAUAUUUUCUGCUCUUGGGAUCUGCCUGAUGUCGAAGCUGUCGAAGG